ACGUAGGGGGCAAGCGUUAUCCGGAUUUACUGGGUGUAAAGGGUGCGUAGGUGGCAAGGCAAGUCAGAUGUGAAAGCCCGGGGCUCAACCCCGGUACUGCAUUUGAAACUGUCUAGCUAGAGUGCAGGAGAGGUAAGCGGAAUUCCUAGUGUAGCGGUGAAAUGCGUAGAUAUUAGGAGGAACACCAGUGGCGAAGGCGGCUUACUGGACUGUAACUGACACUGAGGCACGAAAGCGUGGGGAGCAAACAG
rnacentral:rRNA from 1 species